rnacentral:rRNA from 1 species
AGAUUGAACGCUGGCGGCAUGCCUAACACAUGCAAGUCGAACGGGAGUAGCAAUACUCUAGUGGCGGACGGGUGAGGAAUACGUAGGAAUUUGCCCUUAAGUGGGGGAUAACCCGGGGAAACCCGGAUUAAUACCGCAUGACCUCGAAAGAGCAAAGUGGGGGAUCGCAAGACCUCACGCUUUUGGAGAAGCCUACGUCGGAUUAGCUAGUUGGUGAGGUAAUGGCUCACCAAGGCGACGAUCCGUAACUGGUCUGAGAGGAUGAUCAGUCACACCGGACUGAGACACGGUCCGGACUCCGUACGGGAGCAGCAGGUGGGAAUAUUGGACAAUGGGG